CCUACGGGCCGCAGCAGUGGGGAAUAUUGCACAAUGGGCGCAAGCCUGAUGCAGCCAUGCCGCGUGUGUGAAGAAGGCCUUCGGGUUGUAAAGCACUUUCAGCGGGGAGGAAGGCGGUGAGGUUAAUAACCUCACCGAUUGACGUUACUCGCAGAAGAAGCACCGGCUAACUCCGUGCCAGCAGCCGCGGUAAUACGGAGGGUGCAAGCGUUAAUCGGAAUCACUGGGCGUAAAGCGCACGCAGGCGGUCUGUCAAGUCGGAUGUGAAAUCCCCGGGCUCAACCUGGGAACUGCAUCCGAAACUGGCAGGCUAGAGUCUUGUAGAGGGGGGUAGAAUUCUAGGUGUAGCGGUGAAAUGCGUAGAGAUCUGGAGGAAUACCGGUGGCGAAGGCGGCCCCCUGGACAAAGACUGACGCUCAGGUGCGAAAGCGCGGGGAGCAAACAGGAUUAGAUACCCGAGUAGUC
rnacentral:rRNA from 1 species